rnacentral:rRNA from 1 species
UACGUAGGGUGCGAGCGUUGUCCGGAAUUACUGGGCGUAAAGAGCUCGUAGGUGGUUUGUCGCGUUGUCCGUGAAAACUCACAGCUCAACUGUGGGCGUGCGGGCGAUACGGGCAGACUGGAGUACUGCAGGGGAGACUGGAAUUCCUGGUGUAGCGGUGGAAUGCGCAGAUAUCAGGAGGAACACCGGUGGCGAAGGCGGGUCUCUGGACAGUUCCUGACACUGAGGCACGAAGGCCAGGGGAGCAAACGGG